rnacentral:rRNA from 1 species
GGAAGUAAAAGUCGUAACAAGGUUUCCGUAGGUGAACCUGCGGAAGGAUCAUUAUAAAAUUUUUCGUAUAUUUAUAUUUUUAAAUAUAUAAAAAAAAAAUGUAUUCAAAACCCACACGCCCUUGUAACCAAUUUUAAAAAAACAAUUAUGUCUCGCAUAUAAUAAUAAUUAAAAACAACUUUCAACAACGGAUCUCUUGGCUCUCGCAUCGAUAAAAAACGCAGCGAAUUGCGAUAAGUAAGGUGGAUUGCAAAAUUACGUGAAUCAUCAAAUCUUUGAACGCAUAUGGCACUCCCUGGCAAUCCGGAAAGUAUGCCUGUUUGAGGGUCAGUAAAUAACAAAUUAUCGCAAUCUUUGGUUGUGGAAUUGGGCCCUUAUUUCGAAAGACUUAUGGCCUUAAAUUUCCCCCGUGUGCUUAAUUCCAACCAAACGGAGCAAUUAAACAUUCUCUCGUUAGACGGAUUACUCACAAGCAUUACAAUUUUUUGGAUGACAAAAAGCACUCUCACGAGCGCGAAGCCCAAGAUCGUAAAUUUAAUUGACAAAUGACCUCAAAUCAGGCAAGAAUACCCGCUGAACUUAAGCAUAUCAAUAAGCGGAGGA